rnacentral:lncRNA from 1 species
AAUGUUGAGUCAGCUGAAUUUUCCAACCCUUAUUCUUACUGGUGCCUUCCAUCAGUAAAAAGAUUUAGUACUCUUGUUCUUACUUGGGAAAAUCACUAACCAUACAUAUUACUUUUAUAUAAGACCUCAUAUUAUUCGAUGCAUAGAUACUUUUACUUAUUUACUAAGCAUAAAAAUAAUUUCGAAAUAUAACAUAUUUGGACUUUAAACAUACCCAUGAUUUUAUGCCCAAGUUUUGGAAGAGAAAAUCUGAUUUUUGUAAACUGAUUUCAGUACUCUUCAUUAAAUUUCUUUUUAAUUUCAAAUGUUCCGCUCCGCAAUGUUGUUAUAAGGUGCGAUUUGUCAUGCCCCCAGCCCAGCAGGUGCGAACAAGAAAGAUCUGUGAAAACAGAUAUCGGAGUCAGUACAAAUCUACUAUAGAGUUCACUGUGCAAAAUUGUAUUACUGAUAAACUGUAUAUGUUUAAUAAGCCGUCUGUAUUGACCAACUUGGUCGGGAUAGGCCCCACUUACUCAACUGUAAUAUAUAGCCAAGAAGAUAAGACAUCUUAUAGCUCCAGAUAGAGGCUAUGAAGCUCACCAAAAAUUAGCUGAAAUGGCAACUGUGCCUUACUGAGCAUAUCUGUUGUCAUGUGAA